AUUGAACGCUGGCGGCAGGCCUAACACAUGCAAGUCGAGCGGAUGAAGGGAGCUUGCUCCUGGAUUCAGCGGCGGACGGGUGAGUAAUGCCUAGGAAUCUGCCUGGUAGUGGGGGAUAACGUCCGGAAACGGGCGCUAAUACCGCAUACGUCCUGAGGGAGAAAGUGGGGGAUCUUCGGACCUCACGCUAUCAGAUGAGCCUAGGUCGGAUUAGCUAGUUGGUGGGGUAAAGGCCUACCAAGGCGACGAUCCGUAACUGGUCUGAGAGGAUGAUCAGUCACACUGGAACUAAGACACGGUCCAGGCUCCUACGGGAGGCAGCAGUGGGGAAUAUUGGACAAUGGGCGAAAGCCUGAUCCAGCCAUGCCGCGUGUGUGAAGAAGGUCUUCGGAUUGUAAAGCACUUUAAGUUGGGAGGAAGGGCAGUAAGUUAAUACCUUGCUGUUUUGACGUUACCAACAGAAUAGGCACCGGCUAACUUCGUG
rnacentral:rRNA from 1 species